GGUAGUCCACGCUGUAAACGAUGUCGAUUUGGAGGUUGUGCCCUUGAGGCGUGGCUUCCGGAGCUAACGCGUUAAAUCGACCGCCUGGGGAGUACGGCCGCAAGGUUAAAACUCAAAUGAAUUGACGGGGGCCCGCACAAGCGGUGGAGCAUGUGGUUUAAUUCGAUGCAACGCGAAGAACCUUACCUACUCUUGACAUCCAGAGAAUUUAGCAGAGAUGCUUUGGUGCUUUCGGGAACUCUGAGACAGGUGCUGCAUGGCUGUCGUCAGCUCGUGUUGUGAAAUGUUGGGUUAAGUCCCGCAACGAGCGCAACCCUUAUCCUUUGUUGCCAGCGGUUCGGCCGGGAACUCAAAGGAGACUGCCAGUGAUAAACUGGAGGAAGGUGGGGAUGACGUCAAGUCAUCAUGGCCCUUACGAGUAGGGCUACACACGUGCUACAAUGGCGUAUACAAAGAGAAGCGACCUCGCGAGAGCAAGCGGACCUCAUAAAGUACGUCGUAGUCCGGAUUGGAGUCUGCAACUCGACUCCAUGAAGUCGGAAUCGCUAGUAAUCGUAGAUCAGAAUGCUACGGUGAAUACGUUCCCGGGCCUUGUACACACCGCCCGUCACACCAUGGGAGUGGGUUGCAAAAGAAGUAGGUAGCUUAA
rnacentral:misc_RNA from 1 species